CAGUAGCCGCGGUAAUGCGUAGGGUGCAAGCGUUAAUCGGAAUUACUGGGCGUAAAGCGUGCGCAGGCGGUUUGUUAAGACAGAUGUGAAAUCCCCGGGCUUAACCUGGGAACUGCAUUUGUGACUGGCAAGCUAGAGUCUGGCAGAGGGGGGUGGAAUUCCGUGUGUAGCAGUGAAAUGCGUAGAUAUGCGGAGGAACACCGAUGGCGAAGGCAGCCCCCUGGGCCAACACUGACGCUCAUGCACGAAAGCGUGGGGAGCAAACAGGAUUAGAUACCCCCGUAGUCCCUGUCUCUUACAC
rnacentral:rRNA from 1 species